rfam:Sus scrofa chromosome 17.
UCCCUGGCGGUCUAAUGGUUAGGACUCGACAUUUUCAUUGUUGCAGCCCAGGUUCCAUCCCUGGUCUGGGAA